CCAGCAAAGGGCACAACACAACCCUUGGCCGCUGUGUUGACACGCUCUGCACCUUGCUCCUGCCCUCGCCUUUCACUCUUCUUAUCCCCCCGAUACCCCAAUCAUUCCUGACAGCUCCUGAGUGCCUGGAUUUCAUCAUCCAGCCCUGCAGGAUGCUCCCAUUUGUCCUGAGGGAGGCUGUCCCAGAUGAAGAGGAGGAGAUGGAGGUGGAUACAAAGAUUGAUAUGGAUGAGGAGAUGGAAAGAGACGGAGAAGACUCUGGAGAGGAAGAGAUGGACGUGGAUGUGGAUGAGGAAGAGGAGAUGGAAGUGGAUAUGGAAGAGUCCAUUGAGGACAUGGACAUUGAUUGAAAAGGUGCAAUGGACAUCACAGACAGAGACACCACCCUUUUGUAUAUAUGUUCUACAGUUUGUUGUUGUUCUUUAGAAUAGGUUGUAGGGCUAUUUUUGACUUCUGUAAAUACGUUUCACAUAGUUUUCCUAGGUAGGUUUUUAUGUAUAUAUGUUCUAUUGAUUGUUGAUGUUACAAAUAUCCUUACAAUGUAAAUAUGUUCUGUAUUUUUGCUGCUGUUCUUCUGUAACAAACAAAUUUUAUUUUUCACGCCCCAGUUCUCCUUGCAUUUGCUUCAGGCACAGGCAGCAUUUUGAAAAGUUGUGCAUUCCACUUGCUCCAGGUUCCCAGGGCUGGAGGUCAGAAGUAGAUGAAGGGGAAAAAAUCCACAAUUAAGGGUGUCCAUGACAGCCAGAGCCAAAAGAAGCACAGGGGAUCAGGAAAGAGGGAAGCACGUGCUCCAAACAACAGCAGAAAUAUAGUGAGAGCUCUGGAGAGAACAAAAGAAAGAGGAAGCCUGAAGAAAGGAAAAAACGUCUCCCUACAAGGUGUUUUGCUUUUUUUCAUUGAUUUUUCAUUUCAUUCUUCUAUCAUGUGGUGGAAACCCAGAAAAAUAAAGGUCAGGAGAAGCAUGGUUUAUUGGGAA